CUUCAGUAUUUCAGUAGACUCCUUUGAGGGAGAUCAGAAAAUGCUACAUGGCUUUAUGUAUUCAAGUUUAUUCCGUUUCAUUUGCUUAUCACGGAUAUCCUAUUCAAGGUGAUGGAAGCUGGAUACACAGCAUUUUUUUUUCCAGCUCAGCUGCGAUAAAACAGUGGCACACUCACCAUCUCCAUGCCAGGCCAGGACCUAGAAAUGCAGAGAGAAGGGAGAUAGCAUUUCGUGAGUGUCCUCUGGGUGCCAGUCAUUGAGUCUCUCCUUUCAGUUAUCCAUCACAACAACCACAUAAAGAGGACACUUUUAUCCCCAUUGUGUAAGUGGUGAACUCGCAGCUAAACAGAGAGCAAGUGGCUGAACCAGGAUUUGAACCCAGCUCUGCCUGGAGCACAGCUGGGCUCCAUCUGCUACUACACUGCACCCCACUCCCUAAAGGGCACAGAGGCCUCUUUGCCCGUCUCUUCCUCCCCUGCUCCUCCUCACAUAUUUAUCCAGAUGAAAUCAAGUUCAAAUGAUGAUCAAAGUCACAUGAGGGGCCAGGUGUGGUGACUCACGCCUGUAAUCCCAGCACUUUGGAAAGCCGAGGUAGGUGGCUUACUUGAGGUCAGGAGUUCAAGACCAGCUUGGCCAACAUGGUGAAACCCCCUAUCUACUACAAAUACAAAAAAGUUAACCAGGUAUGGUUAGGUGAGGGGGAGGGAGGCGCCUGUAAUCCCAGCUACUCAGGAGGCUGAGGCAGGAGAAUCACUUGAACCCAGGAGGUGGAGGUUGCAGUGAGCCGAGAUCAC
rnacentral:lncRNA from 1 species